ensembl:snRNA U4 U4 spliceosomal RNA
AGCUUUGCACAGUGGCAGUAUUAUAGCCAAUGAGGUUUAUCUGAGGCAUGAUUAUUGCCAAUUGAAAACUCUUCCGAAUACCCUGCCAUGAUGACUUGAAAUACAGUCAGCAUUGGCAAUUUUUUUUUUUUUUAGCAUUGGCAAUUUUUGACAGUCUCUACAGAGA